UCUUGUUGCCAAACACCCGGGAGAAGGGCGCGGCAAUGGCGCCGGGGGAGGAGAGCCCCCGACUGGGGCGGCUUGGAGGGGUGGGGCGCCUCUUCUCCUCCCCAGCUGCUCGCCACCCGGAGCUGCAGCUGAUUCUCCAGGGUUUGGUUUCUGUCUUCCUUAUCGCUCAGCAGGGGUAACCGUCGCCUCGCAUGCGUGCAAACGAGCUCACAGGAACUGAUCCGAUCGAUGAGCGGCCAGCAGCAAAGGUGUUUCUUCUCCCCCGUUUUAACCGACAUCUCCAGCAGGUGAUGGAGGCCAGUUGAAGACUUUUGACCAUCCGACAUCUGGUGAUUUGGCUACAGAGAGUAAAAUUCCCGAAACAGACAGAGAAAAGAGAAGCAGAGAGCCAGGGUAUUCCCAGGCAGUAACAGCCAAGAGCCAAUUCCAGCGGGACACGUGAGGCAGGCAUCCCUAGCAGCUGAAGACCCGGAACAGAUCGCAGCCAGCCUUUGCUGGGCCCUGACCAGAGCGUGAGCAAGGCUUGGGUGGGUUCGGGAGAGCUGUUCUACGCAGCUGGUCCCGGGCGAGCAGCUGCCAAUCAGGUGACAUUUGAAGAAACGUUUCUAACCACUUUACUUCCCAGAAGACUUCACUGAUUCCUGGUGAAUACCUUCAGGUCCAGGAGGGCUCUCAAAAGCAGGUAACAACCUGAGGAAAAGCUGCCAGUGGAAACGAGGGCCACGGAGAAUGCAGGAAGUGGAAAAUUCGUCUUUAAGUGGUGCCAUUAGGAUACUCUGUAAAACGAUACUAGUGGUGCUGCAUGGGGGCGAAGACGAUGCAUGUGGCUUUUCCAGGCAGCUGGGCAAGGCCUGGGUGACCAGUGGGGCCACUGCUAGCAAAUCUCCCUCCGUGCAGCAUCUCCCCGGAGAAUAAUCGAAGAUGCCUCUGGUGGUUACACAGGAGGACAGGAAUUUUCAGGACUGUACACUAUGUGAAACGUCCUGCCUGCCUGUCCACAGUGUCUGAGCCAACUAUAAAAUUGACUCAGUGCCUGACUGGUGUUUACUUCCAUUUUAUACUAGGUUAAUCCAACAGGCAAAUUUUAAUACGUGCUGUUGUCCAGUUAAAAGUAAACUCUUGCCCCGGCUGGUGUGGCUCAGUGGAUUGAGUGCCGGCCUGUGAACCAAAGGGUCGCUGGUUUGAUUCCCAGUCAGGGCACAUGCCUGGGUUGCAGGCCAAGUCCCCAGUAGGGGGCAUGCAAGAGGCAACCACACAUUGAUAUUUCUCUUCCUCUCUUUCUCCCUCCCUUCCCCUCUCUCUAAAAAUAAAACAAUAAAAUCUUUUUUAAAUAAAGAAAGAAAAAGAACCCCUGACCAGGAAAGCGGAGGGGAGUACACUCUCAUAUAUGAAAUAGAUCAAAGAAACAGCCCCUAUAACAUCAAAUAGCUAGUAUUGAGAAAUGCAGUCCACGCAUGGCCUCCCCCCCCCCGCAACACACACACACUGGUCUUGCUCUCUGCUGAGCCACUUUACUUUUAAGAACCUCUGCAACAGCCACAAGCACACCCCCAAGGCCCAUGCAGGCUGCUGCGUUGUAUCAGAACAUGACGCAUCCAGCUUGAAUGCCAAUUCUUUAAAACAACCAGAAGUGAAGUAAGCGGGCACAAAGACAACUCUAUCCGUUAAAGGACCCUUUGUCUUCUUCUUUUUUAAUCUCUGGAAAUCUAUGGCCCAUGCUCAAGGACCAGGCUGAGCUCCAUAGCAACCGAUAAUAAACUCCCGGAGGCCCAAGAGCCUAUGUCCUCCAGCUCCUAGCAUCUCUGAGCAUCACCAGGUGGCCCCUGAACCCCACUGAAGGACAAGACAGAGGACCCAGGGGCUGCACCCCCACAGCCACCCCAGCAGAGAACACCGCUCGCUGCUGGGCUCCGACAGGAAACAGCAGAAAGACCUGCAAGGCAACCCUGUAAAAGCAUCAAAGCAAGCGCAAGCUGACGGAGGGCUAAACUGGAUAAGCCAGGUGUCGGGAGACCAGCUGAUACCAUUAACUACCUUGUUUCGUAUAAGGCAACUUGACAGCUUAACCUUCCUGCAAUCAGCAAGCCUCUCCUAGGAAAGUCAUACAAGAAUGUGCCCGCCGCUCUCUCUUCUUGGGAUUCAAUCAGCAGUGCACCCUACACGCAGUCAGUAGUGUUGAGAACCAAUGAUCAUUUGUGACCCUGAACUGUUCAUUUAUUCCAUACAGAAAGCGCAGCUCCUCUCCUACAGUUUCAUGACCCAGGCUCGCGGGUGUAGGGACCCAGGCUGGACAAGCUCAGAAGCUACCCCACUCAACAAGUAUUUCUCCGGCUCCUUCCGUGUGCCAGGUACCACGAUGGCACGGGGGCCUUGUCAGGGCCUGCCCAGCACUGCCCCCCUGAGCCUUACUUACCUGAAGUCUUCAACGCCUGUCAUCUGUGCAUACAACGUCACACUCUGCGUACACACCAAGCUCCAGCUGAACGCCAUUUGUUCUGUAACAAGCCUGUCUCACCACUGAAAAUUCAAGCUGCUGCGGAGUAAGGCUAACGUCUUCCCUAGUGAUUUACCAGUUACCCUGGAGCCAGGCUCCCGCCAGCCCCAGCCCAGGGAACUUAGCUGCAAACCCCAAACAAAGACAGAAGCAGCUUCCGAAUUCUGAAACAGUCACUAUCACCAGGCCCUUGGGUUCAGAGCUUCCCUGACUAUAACACCGUUUAGAACAAAUUUCAAUAUUUAGCUUCCAUGACAAAAAUUAAGCUUCUAGUCUUCAAUAUAGUCGACAGCACUGCUGCUUCUGCUAUAAAAAGCCAACGCACCAGAAGAAAGAAAAAGAAUACCAUUCACUGAAUGCAAUUAAAGAUCUCAGCCACUGAAAUUAUCAACAGUCCAUCUGGCAAUCAGUUUGUCAUUUUAAGUUCUUGUUAUCAUUGCUUUCGUUCUCUUAAAGGCAUAAGAAAACGGAUUUAAACAAGGGGGUUGGAAGGUCGACUGCAGUUUAAAUCACAGGUUCUUACUCAAAGAGGCAAUUCCUUCCUAAAAAUGAAAUAAAUUUUUCCAAUUUCCAUGAAGGUAAGAUAGAUUCUUUACAGGAAAGUAUACAGACACACAGUGGAAGGAAGGGAAUACAUACCCGUGAAUCCCCAGAUAACACUAUUAAUACACAAAUGCACUAAUACCCUUUCGGAUAUCUCAUUAUUUAUGUAUAUGUAUGUGUUCCUUAUCAAAAGAUGGGGUCAAAUCAUAAAACCGAUUUACGACCUACCUUUUUAUUCUGUCAUAAAAUGUUUCGACAUCACUAAACGUGUUUCGACAACUCAUUUUUCAUGGAUUCAUACCAUUCCACUUUAGAGAUACACUCUAGUGAAUUAAGUACUCUGUCAUCGGCAUAAUUCUUCGUCCUUAGAGCUAAUUCUCUGGCUGUAUGAGGAUACACUGCUACAUUCCUUACUGUU